CUUAGAGUUUGAUCCUGGCUCAGGAUCAUCGCUGGCGGUAUGCUUAACACAUGCAAGUCGAACGGUGUCUUCGGACAUAGUGGCGGACGGGUGAGUAACGCGUGAGAAUCUAGCUUCAGGUCUGGGACAACCACUGGAAACGGUGGCUAAUACCGGAUGUGCCGGAAGGUGAAAGGCUUGCUGCCUGAAGAUGAGCUCGCGUCCGAUUAGCUAGUAGGUGGGGUAAGAGCCUACCUAGGCGACGAUCGGUAGCUGGUCUGAGAGGAUGACCAGCCACACUGGGACUGAGACACGGCCCAGACUCUUACGGGAGGCAGCAGUGGGGAAUUUUCCGCAAUGGGCGAAAGCCUGACGGAGCAAUACCGCGUGAGGGAGGAAGGCUCUUGGGUUGUAAACCUCUUUUCUCAGGGAAGAACACAAUGACGGUACCUGAGGAAUCAGCAUCGGCUAACUCCGUGCCAGCAGCCGCGGUAAUACGGAGGAUGCAAGCGUUAUCCGGAAUGAUUGGGCGUAAAGCGUCCGCAGGUGGCUGUGUAAGUCUGCUGUCAAAGAGCAAAGCUCAACUUUGUAAAGGCAGUGGAAACUACACGGCUAGAGUGCGUUCGGGGCAGAGGGAAUUCCUGGUGUAGCGGUGAAAUGCGUAGAGAUCAGGAAGAACACCGGUGGCGAAGGCGCUCUGCUAGGCCGCAACUGACACUGAGGGACGAAAGCUAGGGGAGCGAAUGGGAUUAGAUACCCCAGUAGUCCUAGCUGUAAACGAUGG
rnacentral:rRNA from 1 species